CGGGGCGUGGCGCAGCCUGGUAGCGCACUUGCAUGGGGUGCAAGGGGUCGAGUGUUCGAAUCACUCCGUCCCGACCA
rnacentral:tRNA from 2 species